rnacentral:rRNA from 1 species
UACAGAGGGUGCGAGCGUUAAUCGGAAUUACUGGGCGUAAAGGGCGCGUAGGUGGUGAAGUAAGUAAGAUGUGAAAUCCCUGGGCUUAACCUGGGAAGGUCAUCUUAGACUGCUUGACUGGAGUACGGUAGAGGGUAGUGGAAUUUCCGGUGUAGCGGUGAAAUGCGUAGAUAUCGGAAGGAACACCAGUGGCGAAGGCGGCUACCUGGACUGAUACUGACACUGAGGCGCGAGAGCGUGGGUAGCAAACAGGAUUAGAUACCCUGGUAGUCCACGCUGUAAACGAUGAAAACUAGAUGUUGGUAGGCCUAGACCUAUUAGUAUCGAAGCUAACGCGAUAAGUUUUCCGCCUGGGGAGUACGGCCGCAAGGUUAAA